GACGAACGCUGGCGGCGUGCCUAACACAUGCAAGUCGAACGAAGAAUGUUUUUCGGAAUAUUCUUAGUGGCGGACGGGUGAGUAACGCGUGAACAAUCUGCCCCGUACAAAGGGAUAGCCUCGGGAAACCGGGAUUAAAACCAUAUAACACUUAACUGCCGCAUGGUAGUGAAGUCAAAUCGAGUAAGAGGUAUGGGAUGAGUUCGCGUCUGAUUAGCUAGUUGGUGAGGUAAGGGCUCACCAAGGCGACGAUCAGUAGCCGGCCUGAGAGGGUGAACGGCCACACUGGAACUGAGACACGGUCCAGACUCCUACGGGAGGCAGCAGUGGGGAAUAUUGCACAAUGGAGGGAACUCUGAUGCAGCGACACCGCGUGAGUGAAGAAGGUCUUCGGAUCGUAAAACUCUGUCCUUGGUGAAGAAAGGACGGUAGCCAAGGAGGAAGCCCCGGCUAACUACGUGCCAGCAGCCGCGGUAAGCAUACUCGUA
rnacentral:rRNA from 1 species